rnacentral:lncRNA from 1 species
UGGUGGUUACUUAACCUAGACUCAGGUUCAAGUCAGAAAGUCAAGGCAGAAUCGUCUGAGUCAGAGCCUGUUGUUAAAGCUCUAAAAAGUGUGUUCAAAUUCCUGGCUGGAGAUCUAAGAAGAGAGGAAGGAGCACAUUCAGAACUGGGGGUCACAGCAGAAACUUUAAGCCAAAAGGAGCCCUAGUGUGCGGAAUGGCACUUGCAGGAAGCAGCUGUGCUGUUCUCUGACCUGGAGCUUGGAGGCCUGGCUAUUGUAAACCCACAGAAGAAAACUCAGAACUUACGCAGAAUUAUUGAUUGUUUUCUCCACCCAGAAGAAAUCGUUUUUCCUGGAAAGUCAGCCAUAUGGUGCCACAGAGGUGGAAGGCACCACACCCCUCUAAGGAAUGCUCCACUUCUGACCGACUCCUUUCACAUCGGCAACUGUUGCCACGGUUCUUGUCUGAGACCCCAGAGAGCUGUUCUGAAUUGUCUCUUGGAUUCAUCCGGGCACCCUUCCCUUACUGUUGGCUUCUAGUAGUCAUGGAAAUUACAAGUUGUCCUGUUUAGUGUGGCAGCUGGAUUAUACAUCCCCAUAUGUGGUCAUAUGACACAGUGACACCAGUCUGGACCAUGUGACUACUUGCCCAGUGGAAUGUACACAGAAGUAGAGUAUACUGUAACCAAGCAGAAGCUUUGAGAACCCUAGUGUCCUUCAGCCAUUUCUCCCUCCCUCUGCAAUGCCAAAGUCACACCCCCACAGGAACUGCUCCUUUCAGCCUGGCUCCUGGAAUGAGAAGAUAGAUAGAGAGGAGCUGCAGCUGAUCCACAGAUGACUCGUAACACGAACAAGAAAUAAAUCUUUAUUAGUGUAAGUCA